rnacentral:rRNA from 1 species
UGGUGGAGCGAUUUGUCUGGUUAAUUCAGAUAACGAACGAGACUCUGGCCUAUUAAAUAGUUCGCCGAUUCCGAUCUGUCGGCGUUAACUUCUUAGAGGGACAAGUGGCUUUUAGCCACGCGAGAUUGAGCAAUAACA